AUUACAGAAACUGCCUAUUUCUCUGUCAAGGCCUUGCCUCAGAAGAUUCGCAGUUGAUCCCCAUGAAAAACAGUGGUUGUUUUCCAGCCCCUCCAGGAAAUACUGGAUGCAUACCUAAUGUCUGCCUGGCUCCUAGCAGCUAAGUAACUAUGCUGAACACAUUUUUCAGCUUGUACCUGACUGCAAGUGAGGAGUCAAACUGUUCCCUCCUUGCAUGGCAUAUCUGGGACACUGCAUGACACUCCUUCCUGGAAGUUUUCCAUUAUCCUUAGAGGCUGAAGAAGUCUCCAUCUACUCUUCACAACCCACUUUCCUCAGGAGAAUUUAAGAAGUGUUUUUCUUCAGGCACUGCAUGACUCCUCAUGAAGAUCAUCAUGAAGGGACAGUCUCAGUCUUUGUCACUGGGCCUUUCGGCUUCACCUUAUUGUUUCCUGCAGAAGAUGAUGUUGGCUAUAGACUGGGAUAAGUGAUGGUCACUGGCUCCACUCACUUGGUGCUGUGCCUCGAGGAAGCCCUUUCAAUCCUGAGUGGGAUAGGUGAUAUAUCUGCACUCUAGGUGU